UUCUCUUCAUUCCUACCCCUCUCACCCAUAUUUAAAUUAACCUAGACCAUCAACUCGUAAUCGACCACUCUAUUUCUCUUCAUUCCUACCCCUCUCACCCCUAUUUAAACCUAGAUCAUCAAUUCAUAAUCAACCAUUCCGCUUCUCUUCAUUCAUACCCCUCUCACCUCAAUUUAAAUUAACCUAGACCAUCGGCUCGUAAUCGGCCACUCCACGUCUCUUCAUUGCUACCCCUCUCACCCCUAUUUAAAUUAACCUAGAUCAUCAAUAUGUAAUCAGUGGCUCCAUGUCUUAAUCAACACUACUCUCAAUUAUCUAUCUCGAGAUUAAUCGUUUAGAAUCUUUUGCAGGUUACUCUUCGCCCAAUUUAUAUUUGAUUUUUAUAUCACAUAACACAACAAAUGACUUCUCCAAACCAUCGCCUUCAAUGUUGUUUGUGCAAAUACUAUUAAGUCAUAAGGAAUUUUCCACCGCCCUCGACUAGCUGCUUUGAGGCUAAUCACUUAGAAUCAUUUGCAACCUACCUUCGGUGUUGUUUAUUCUAAUAUUAUCUAGUUAUGAG